UGAAGAAACGUAUGUUCUCGUCAUCUGCGAAAGAACAUAGUAGAAAUCCAAUUAGCAUUGAGAAACCAAACCGCACGAUAGAGAUGAAUAGAAGUGAAACUAUUCCCAACUCUGCAACCUCUAUGGGAUAAGCACAGACGUCUCUGUACCGAUCCCUCAGACUCUACUAAGCUUGUCCGUGAAUUGUGAGACCUAAGCAACCUAGAGCUUUGAUACCAAUUUAUCACGACCCGGAUUUCCCACCCAUGGGAGUCGUGAUGGCACCUGCUAGUGAAAGCUAGGCAAGCCAAUGAUUUCAAUUACUUUACCCUUUUUAUUUUUAAUACAUUAACAGUUGUAGAUUAACAUUUUAUAAACAGUGGAAUUAUUAAAAUGGAAGAAUGAAAUGUAACAUUUUAAGCUAAUACCGAUACAAAUCCAUAACAUAAACCACCCAGAACUGGUGUCACAAUCUCAUGGACUAUCUAAGAAAACUCCAAAUAAUGUCUGAACAAGAAAGUACAUGUCUGUCUUUGGAAUAUAUAAGAACAAAAAGAAAGUAGAUAUGGAGGGAACGCCAAGACCUGCGGACGCCUAUAAGUCUACCUCGGGUCUCCUGAUGGACUGAAGGUAGCAACCCCUAGCUAAGGUCUGUAUGCUCUAGUAUCGAGAUCUGCACACAGUGCAGAGUGUAGUAUCAACACAACCGACCCCAUAUGCUGGUAAGUGUCGAGCCUAACCUCGGCGAAGUAGUGAUGAGUCUAGGACGAGACUACCAAAUAAGCCUGUGCAGUUAAAGCAUAUAAGAUAAGCAAUAAAAAUGGAAACUAGCAGUUAAAGAUUGGAAAAGGAGCAUGCUGCGGGGGAUAUCAAGUAACAACAGUAACUCAGAAGAAAAACAUAAAGAACAUUUUAAGGUUUGCAUCAGUAAGAAUAAGGAAACAACAAUAAGUCAAUAUCAACUCUUAUAAUUUAUUGGUGCGGCGCGCAACCCAAUCCAAAUAAUAUAACACUGUUGCGACGUGCAACCCAAUAUAAUCAUAUAUCAUUAUUGUGGCGUGCAACCCAAUCCAAUAAUAUAUCAUUGUUGCGGUGUGCAACCCGACCCCUCCUGUCCUCCCUUAUUACUCCACGUUGUAGUGUGCAACCCAAUUCUAUAUAAUGUUGUUGCGGUGUGCAACCCGAUCCCAUUAUACAAUUCAACACCAAUCACAAAAGAAUCCCAACAAGGGAACAAUAAGGAAACAACAAUAUCCCGGCAAGGAAAUCAACAAUGAGAAUAAACACAUCCUGGCAAGGGAACCAACAGUAAGAAGUAAAUACGUCCCAGCAAGGGAAUCAGCUAUAACCAAACUUGUUCCAAUAUUUAACCUCACAAAAGAAGCCUCAACUAGAGCCAAUACUAAACCAUAAACAAUUGCCACGAGAAUAAUCAUAAUUCUUACCCAACACCGAGAAUCAACAACUUAGGCAUUUGUAGUACUUAUUAAGAACACAACGAUUUCAAUUUAAGACUCACGUGCAUGCUUGACAACGGCGCAUUGAUACUCGUCACUACACUUAUACGUCGUACACUACAAUAGCACAUAGCAAAUAUAGCACGAUACCUAUUCCCUCAAGCUAAGGUUAGACCAAACACUUACCUCGAAUUUUCACAGCCAACUCAAGCCUCGAACACCACUUUUUCCUUUAUAAUUCGCCUCCAAAUUACUUUUAUCUAGUCCAAAUUAAUUUACCAACAUCAAUAAAUGCUAAGGAAUCCAUACCCAAUAUCCCCAAAAAGUCAAAAAUUGACCCCAGGCCCUCUUGGCCAAAAUUCGAGGUUCGGAUCAAAACCCAAUCAUGCAUUCACCACGAGCCCAAAUAUGCAAUUAAUUUCGAAAUCCAACCCCAAAAUGAGGUCUAAAUUAAGAUUAUUCAAAAAGCCCUAGCUCUACCCAAAUCCCCAAUUUCUACCAUAAAAACUCUAGAUUUUUUGAUGAAGAUUGAUGAAAUUCAAUGGGAAAUCGAAAGAAAAAGGUUUAGAAUCAUAUACCAAUGCUUUAGGGAAGAACUUGUCUCUUGAAAAUUGCCUCAAUUCUCUCUAGUUUUGAAGAUAUGAAGUAAAUGGGUUUUGCCCGUUUUUUUGCUACUGUUUUAAAAAUGACUGGGCAGGCCUUCAUCGUGUUCGCGAUGGGCCUAUCACAUUCGAGAUGGGUCAGGCCUAGAUGGCCAUCGCGUUUGCAUUCAAUGGCUCGCGUUCGCGGAGUUUCAGCUCCUCAAGCCUUCGCGUUUGCGGUCAGGUGGCCACGUUCGUGUAGAACAAUUUGAAACCCCUCCCCCAGGCCCACUAACCCUAUGCGUUCACGAGAGCCUGAACACGUUCGCAAAGGGUAACUCCCCCAAAAGCUUCGCGUUCACGUCCUGAGCUCCACAUUCGCGAAGAACAAACUGGCACCUGAGGAAAAUUGCCUUACGCGUUCGCUAGUGGAGCCAUGCAAAUGCGAAGAACAAAAUCUCUGUGCACCCGAGACAACAAAACCUGCAACUUUUCUAAGUGUAAAAACAUCCCGAAACCUAUCCGAAACUCACCCAAGCCCUCGGGGCUCCAAACCAAACAUGCAUACUAACCCAACAACAUCAUAUGGACUUACUCGUGUGAUCAAAUCGCCAAAUUAACACCUUUUACAAUGAAUUUAGCAUUAAAAUCAAAGAAGAAUCCCAAGAACUCUUAAGUUAAAAUUUUAACAACUGAGGGUCCGAUUCACGUAAUUUCAAGUCCGUUUCUUACAAAAUUUUACAGGCUCAACCUAAUACCAUAUAAGACCUGUACCGAGCUCUGAAACUAAAAUACGGGCCCAAUACCAUCAAUUUCAAAUACAUUCAAAUUACUAAAAAUAGUUAAAAUUUCAGUUAAACAAUUUCCUUCAAAAAUUUAUUUCUCGGGCUUGGGACCUCGGAAUUCAAUUUCGGGCUUACACCCAAGUCCCAUAUUUUUCUACGGACCCUCCAGGACCGUCAAAUUACGGGUCUGAGUCUGUUUAUCCAAAAUAUUGAUCUAAGUCAACUUAAAUUUAAUUUUAAGGCCAAAUUAGCAUUUUCAUCAAAUUGUCACAUAAAAGCGUUCCAGAUGUACGCCCAGAGUGCGCACACAAAUCGAGGUAAGAUAAAAGGAGGGUUUUAAGACCUCAGAAUGCAGAAUUUACUUGUAAAUCAAAAAGGUCAUCACAUUUAUUAUUUCAUUUUGUGAUUCCUGUAUCAUCUAAAUAAAUAGAGAUGGACUUAUUUAAUCAUGGGAACAUUUCACAUUACUGAAAUAGUUUCUCAAGAUAGUUCCCAGCACAACUCAAGCUAAUUCGUGUAUCUACUUACAAAUAAUAUUAUUGUAGUAUUAUUAUCGUUAUUUUCCGGUGUCAUUUUCCUACACUCUAUGAAACUAUGACAAGUAAUACUACUCUGAAAUUUUUUGAUGGUACUAUCAUUUUUGGUGUUGUCUCCACUGCUACUCUUCUAGCUGUCCUGAUAGAUAUCUACGGUGUUGCAAAUACGUUAUUGCAUCCACAACUUUGGCAGAUAGUAAUGUCAAAGCACAGGUAUGUGAAUAGACAUGGUUACAUAUCCAAUACUAAUAUUAAAAUCUUCAAAAAAAUUGCACCUCAAUGCAAGAGAAGAGUUGUGACAAUUGAUAAUCUUGCUAAGUCAAAAUUAAAUUUGACUAAAGAAUUGUUGCGGCCAUUUCCCAAAUAAAUAAUAUGGCCAAUGUGAGAAAUUGUGUGAUACACCCAAGUUGAGGAAGGAGAAGAAACUAUUUAUCUUGAUGAUUCAAGAACAACUUGUGUUCUUGGGAAUGUAAAAAUUCCUCUCAAACUCAUAUUUCGUAAAACUCUAGCAUUGAGAGAUGUAUUGCACUAAUAUCCAAACCAAUUUGAUUUCUGUGGGGUUAUUAAGAAAAGUUGGAGCGAAGGUUUUAUUUUAAAAUAAUGAGGUCGUAUUGACCAAAAAUGAUAUUUUGUGGGCAAUGGAUAUUGUAACCAUGGUUUAUUUAUGCUUAAUAUUUCUAAUACUAGCUAUGAAAAUGCAUCUUCUUCUGCUUAUAUGGUUGAGUCUGUUUUUCUAUGACAUGCUAGACUAAGACAUGUUAAUGUCGCGUAUAUAAAGAAAAUGCAGUCACUAGGAUUAAUAUCUGGUUUCAACUCAAAUAAUAUUGGCAAAUGUGAAAUAUGUGCUGAAGCUAAAUGUGACGGCCCGACCAGUCGUCUCAUGAGUUAGUGCCUGUUUCCCUAUUUCUGCUUCUUUAUACUUUGUUUGUCCGUGUCAUGUGGUAUCAGGUUGGUCGGAUCGAAUCCGUAAUGAUUUUGGUAAGGUUUGGGACACAUAGUCUCUUUUGACGAAGCUUGAGUUAGAAAAGUCAACUGGAUAUUGACUUAUGUGUUAGAGGGCUCGGAUGUGAGUUAUGAAGGUUCGGUUAGCUUCGCUAGGUGAUUUGUGACUUAGAAGUGUGAUCAGAAUGGGUUUUGGAGGUCUAGAGUAGAUUUAUGCUUGAAUUGGCGAAUUUGAUAUUUUGGCGAUUUCUAGUUGAUAGGCAAGAUUUUGAUAUAAGGGCCGGAACGCAAUUCCGAGAGUUGCAGUAGUUUCGUUGUGUGAUUUGCGAUGUGUGCAAAAUUUCAGGUCAUUCGGACGAGUUUGGUUGGGUUUUUGCUCGAAAGCCUAAUUUGGAGGAUUUUAGGAAAUUUGGCUUGAAUCUGAUGUGUUUUGGGUGAUUUGAUGUUGUUUGAGGUGUUUUGAUGAUUGGAACAAGUUUGAAUAAGGUAUUAGAAUAUGUUUGUGCUUUUGGUUGAGGUCCCGGGGACCUCGGGGUGAUUUCGGAUGGUUGACGGAAAGGUUUGAGACUUGUGAAAUUUGCAGAAUCUCAACUGCUUUUGGUAUUUCCGCACCUGCGGAUUGGGGACCGCAGGUGCGACGCCGCAAGUGCAGAAGAUAGGCCGCAUAAUCAAAAAAAGGUCUAGAGGAGCAGGAACUGCAGAAGCGGUUAAUGGGACUGCAUCUGCGAAUCCGCAGAUGCGGAUAAGGGAUCGCAGAAGCAAGAGUGCCUGGAAAGGCAGCAACCGCAGAUGUGGUGGAUGGACCGCACCUGCGAAGGCGCAGAUGCGGAAGAUUGAUCGCAAAAGCGGUUUGGUCCAUUAAGUGGUUUCCGCAGAAGCGGAAGAAGAACCGCAAAUGCGAUACCGCAAAAGUGGGUAUUGGGCCGCAUAGGCAGAAGGUAUAAAUUGUAGCCUUCGCGAAUUUUGAGCUAUUUCACCAUUUUUAUCUCGGCUUGGGAGCUUUUUGGGCGAUUUAAAAGAGGAAUUUCAAGGGAACUUCAUUGAGGUAAGGAACUUGGACCUAAAACUCAUUCCUAUGCUAUUAUUUCAUGGAUUAGAGCUAGAAAUUAUGGAAAUUAAAGGUUAAAAUUGGGAAAACUAGUGCUUGGAAACUUAGGUAUUUAAUUGUGGAUUUGAAGGACCAUUUGGGGUCGGAUUUCUGAACUUUUGAUAUGUAUGAACUUGUAGGGACAUAAGGAAUCUAUUGAUGUAAAAAUUAUUGAAUUUCGAGACGUGGGCCCGGAGGUCGGGUUUUGGUAAUUUCGGGAUUUGUGUCAUUUAUUGAUUGUUUUCUCUUGGUCUUCGUUCCACUAGCAUAUUUUGACGUCCGCGUUCUGAUUUUGGAUAGAUUCGACGCGAGUGGAGGCCGAUUCGAGGGGCAAAGGCAUCACGAGCUAGAGAUUUGACCGGUUCGAGGUGAGUAAUGAUUGUAAAUGAUGUUUUGAGGGUUUUAAACCCCGGAUUGCACAUCGUAGUGCUAUAUUGAGGUGAGGCACACGCUUGAUGACGAGUGGUCUAUCACUACUGAUGAUUUUAUGGUGUAUUUGACUAAAAUCCAUUUGUUUUCAUCAUUAUUUGGGAUGAAGGCUAUAUUUGGGCCUAGUGCUAACUAUUUGAACCCUUCGGGGCUUUUUAUUGUUAUUUCCUCACUAUUUUGACUUUAUACUUGAACUCAGUCAUGUUAUUUUCCAUUGUUUUCAUAUUUAGCCACAUUUGCUCAAUUUUAAGACUUAAAUGAUAUUUUAAAUGAUGUUUGGGUUGAGAAACACUAUUUUACUAUUGCUCGAGGGGCUUGUGAGGAUUUUUGACUGAGUAAGGCCGACGGCCUAUGUUGUGAGGAAACAUUUGAUACUGAUUAUGAGGCCGAGGGCAUGAGAUAUGUAUGCCACGAGGUGGGUUGAUUGAUAUGAGGCCGAGGGCCUAGUUUUGAUGCCACGAGAUGGCUUGAUAUUGCGCUUGGGCCGUAAGGGGCCCCUCCAGGAGUCUGUAUACCCCAGUGAGUGCGGGUACCCAUUGUGAUGUGAGAUUGAGCCCGAGGGGCGGAUUUGUUGAUACUGUGCCCGAGGGGAGAACUUCUAUUUGUUUACUUUACCUUAACUACCUGUCAAUAACCUAUUUAAUUGAUGGAAAAGGAUUGUUACUUAAAUUUUCAUUGGUUUACUGUUUUUUAAUGUUUCACUACUUCAUUAUAGAAUGUCUUGUGCCUUACGUGUUUUCUUACUUUCAGUCGUUAUUUACAUUUGUUACCUACUGAGUUGGAGUACUCACUUUAUUCCGUGCACCCCUGUGUGCAGAUUCAGGCGUUGCUGAUCCUGCCAGUGCAAGUUGAGAGCUCCCGGCGGACAUUCGGAGUUCACGAGGUAGCUGUUGGCGUCCGCAACCCCGUGUCUCUACUCCUUUAUCACUUCUAUCACUUUUCAGAUAGUUGUACUAGUUUAUUGUCUUAGCGGAUUUGUAUUAUGACUUAUAGAUUCUCAUGACUAGUGACACCCCGGUUAGGGCUAUGUAUGGGUGUUCUUCCACGUAUUUAUAUUAUCAUUGUUAUUUUGAAUUUAAUUUAUCAUGUUUAGAUCGUUUCUUAAAUGCUUAACUGUUAAUAAUUGGAAAAUGGGAAGUGUCGACUGGCCUUGUCUUCACGAGAGGCUCCAUCACAACCAGAUUCGAAUUAGGGUCGUCACACUAAAAGUACUAGAAAGACUUAUUUUUUUGUAAAUAGAGAAACCAAUUUGUUAUCCUUUAUUCACACUGAUUUAGACGAUUAAAACAUACUAUGACUAGAGGUGGUAAAAGAUAUUACGUGACUUUUAUUGAUUAUUUUUCUAGAUAUAUUAAGUUGUAUUAGCUUAAAAAUAAAGAUGAUGCUUUUAUUUCUUAUAAAAUUGAGGGUGAAAAUCAACUUUGUAGAAAAAUCAUGAGAAUUAGAUCUGAUAGAGGUGGAGAAAAUUUUCUUUAAAUGAUUUUUGUGAAAAGAAUGGAAUAAUUCAUGAAGUAACCCCGCCUAAUUCACUUGAUUUAAAUGGAGUAGCCGAAAGAAAAAAUAGAACAUUGAAAGAGAUGAUGAACUCUAUGUUAGUUAGCUCUAAUGCUCUCGAUAAUUUGUGGGGUGAAGCUAUUUUAUCUGCAUGUCACUUAUAAAAUAGAAUACCACAUACAAGAACUGACAAAACUCUGUAUGAAUUGUGGAGGUGUUAUAAACCUAACUUGAAAUAUUUAAAAAUGUGGGCUUGCCUUGCUGAAGUUCUUUUGCUUGAACCUAAAAAGAGAAAAAUAGGUUUUGAAAUUGCUGAUUGUAUGCUUAUUGGAUAUGCUGAACAUAGUGCUGCAUAUAAAUUUCUUAUAAUAAAAAGUGAUGUGCUUGAUUACAAUACUAUAAUUGAGACAAAAAAUGCUGAGUUCUUUGAAUAUAUUUAUCCAUUGUCUAAUAAAAUUUCUCAUACACCUGUUGAAACAAAUAGUAAAAUUACCUGUAAUGAGGAACUGAGAAGGAGUAAAAAGCCUAGAAAAUAAUAUUUUUCUUAUGAAAAUAAUUUUCAAACUUUUCUUGUCAAUAAUGAACCAUUAAAUUAUUUUGAAGUUAUAUUCUUCUGAAGCUAAUUAUUGGAAAGAGGCAAUAAAAGUUGAAAUCCAUUCUAUUUUGAAAAAUAAAACAUGUAUUUUAACAGAUUUACCUCCUGGUACAAAGCCUGUUGGUUGUAAAUGGAUUUUCAAAAAGAAAUUUAAUCUCAAUGGAUCUUUACAUAAAUAUAAAGCUCGGUUAGUAGAAAAAGCAUUUUCUCAAAAAUAAAAUAUAGAUUAUUUUGAUACAUUUGCACCACUGACUAGAAUUUCUUCUAUUCAAGUUUUAAUUGCCUUAGCUUCAAUUCAUAAUCUUUUUAUCCAUCAAAUGGAUAUCAAAACAGUUUUUUUAAAUGUUGAUUUAGAAGAAGAAAUUUAUAUGGUUUAACCUGAAGGCUGUGUCAUUAUUGGGCAUGAAAAUAAAAUUUUUAAAUUAAUUAAAUCUCUUUAUGGCCUUAAAGAAGCUCCUAAGCAGUGGUAUGAGAAAUUUGAAUAAGUCUUACUGAGAGACAAUAUUUCCUCAAUUGAGGUAGAUAAAUGUAUUUGUACUAAAGUGGUAGACAAUGAUUAUGUGAUAAUAUGUCUAUAUGAUGAUGACAUGCUUAUAUUUGGUACAAAUUUAAAUAUUGUGCAAAGUAAAAAAUUAUUUGUGUCUACUAAUUUUGAUGUGAAAGAUCUGGGUGAAGUAAAUACAAUAUUGAAAGUUAAAGUUAUAAAGAAUGAAGAUAAAAUAAUGUUGUCACAAGAACAUUAUGUUGAGAGACUUCUUAAGAAGUUUGAAUAUUUUAAUGUCACAUCUGUGAGCACUCCUUUUGAUGCUAACUCUUAGUUAAAAAAAUAUAAUGGUGACCCAGUUGCUAGUCUAAAUAUGCGUAGAUUAUUGAGAGUCUGAUGCAUUUAAUGAAUUUUACAAGGCCUGAUAUAACCUAUGUUGUGUGUAGACUGAGUAGAUAUACUCAUAAUCCCAACAGAGAGCAUUGAUCUGCAUUAGAUUGACUAAUGAAAUAUUUGAAAGGAACCAUGAAUUAUGGUAUCCUAUAUAGUGGAUUUUCUUCUACUUUAGAAGGGUACAGUGAUGCAAACUGGAUCUCUGAUUCAGAUGAGACAAAAUUCAUUAGUGGUUAUGUAUUCACCCUUGGCGGUGGUGCAAUAUCGUGAAAAUCAGCUAAAUAGACAUUCAUUGCUGGAUUAACUAUGGAAUAAGAGUCUGUAGCUCUGGAGUUAGAUGGUUCUGAGGCUAAGUGCCUAAGAAACUUCUUAGCUAAUAUCCCUUUAAUGAAGGACGUAUUGCCUCCUGUGUCUAUGCAUUGUGAUUGUCAAGCGACAAUAGCUAUUGCAAAGAAUAAAUCUUAUAAUUAUAAAAUAGACACAUGAAACUGAGACAUAAUGUCAUAAAAUUGCUGUUGAGAUAUGGAAUAAUUUCCAUUGACUAUGUGAAGUCAGAGAUAAAUUUGGCAGAUCCUCUGACUAAAUCUGUGAGAAGAAAAUUAAUUCUUCAAACCUCAAAAGAGAUGAGGUUAAGGCCGAUAUGUUGUUAAUAGAGAUGAUAACCCAACCUAUGUGAUUGGAGAUCUCAUGAAGUAGGUUCAUGUGGGUAAUAACAAGUCUAUAUUGGCACUAAAACACUAAAAGAGAGUGCUUGAAUGCUACUAAUUGAGAGGCUGAGUUAUAACUCUUAAUUAAAUUCAUAGUUCUUAUGGAUGGUGUAUUUAAAAGCAGUAUACACUUGAUGAAUUCACCUAUAUGAGAGUGGAGUGGGCCGCUCCUAUGAAAUUUUGGCCUAGUCUUUAGAGCUCUCAUGAAUAACCAAGCACGCGCAUGGCCUAUUGGGCGCAAAAUCGUGUUGAACAACAAAAUUACCGAGGGUCAAAAUGUGAUUGAUAAAAUAUCUGGCUUACAAUAAGAAUUAUUGGUUCAUAGAAAUAUUAUAUUUCACCAGUAAUUCUGUGAGUUAAAUUUUAUUGGUCUAAGUUUGGUUCAUAGUCCAAAAGACACCAAACCUAUUAAAUUUGGACCAUGCAAAUCCAGUAAGUCAAUUCUUUCAUUCCUUUAUUCUUAUCCUAUAAAUUUUGAAAAUAUGUGUGGAUUGUGGGAGAAUUUUCAAAUUUUAACUAGCCAUGGGUCUUUUUUAUUUUACAAGUGUCCUAUCUAUUUCCAAGUGGCUUCUUGCAUAAAGCUUCGUGGCCAAAUACUCUUAGAUAAUUGGUACAUGAAAAGUACAAUUUGCGGAAACCAACACAGCCUAACAUCGGGGUGUCACCAGUCAUGAGCAUCUAACACAAAUCUAAGAGUAUGAAAGAGUUUAUAUAGUCUAUUACCGAAUUAGAACAAGGGAAGUAAAAUACGAGGGAGAAACACUAGGCUGGGAACGCCGAGCUACUACCUAGUGGACUCCGAAUAGCCUGCUGGGAGCAAUCAACCCUCAAUGGUGGGACCUGAAGCUCUUAAAUUUGCACACAGGGUGCAGGGAGUAAAGUGAGUACUCCAACUCAGUGAGUAAUAACAAUAAAUAAAGACUGAGCGAUAAGAAAUCACGUAAAACACAACAACAUGCUAUAAAGAGGUAGUGUAAAACCAAUAAAAAGCAAUAAAAUAGUGAAAUCUUAUAAAAACACCUUAGUUAAGUAUAAGCUUCUUUAAAACACAUUUUUAACAUCUAAACAAGUAAAUGAAAAGCAACAAGAAAGAUACACACAUAAAAUCCGCCCCUCGGGCACAAUGUUAACAAAAUCAGCCCCUCGAGCAAUAACAUGGAACAACACCAGCCCAUCGGGCUAUAUCACAUAUCACACUAGGUACCCGCGCUCACUAGGGGUGUACAGACUCCGGGAGGGGCCCCUUACGGCCCAAGCACAAUAUCAAGUCAUCUCGUGGCAUAAUCAAUAGGCUCUCGGCCUCACAUCAAGCCACAUUGUGGCGUACAACUUAGGCCCUCGACCUUAUAAUCAUAAUCAGUACAACACUGCUGCGGCCUGAAGCCUGAUCACAUAAUAAUCCUCACAACACAGGCCCUCGGCCAUACUCAGUCAGAAAUCUCUAAAAGCCACUCGGGCAAAGUAAAACAUGAUGCUCGGCCCCAAAAUAUCAUAUAAGAUGUCAAAACAGAAUAAACAUGGAUGGGUUAUAAAAACAAUAAAGUAUAGCAUGACUGAGUACAAGUAUAAAGUUAAAACAGUGAGGAAAUAGUAGUAAAAGUCCCCUAAGGAUCAAAACAGUUGGUACGAGGCCCAAAUAUGGCAUUCAGCCCAAAACAUGAUGAUAGCAAAUAAUUUUCAAUCAAAUAUGUAGUAAAAUAGUCAUACGGGAUGGACUAAGUCACAAUCUCCAACGGUGCACGACCCCAUGCUCAUCAUCUAGCAUAUGCGUCACCUCAAUACAACACAACAAUGUGAAAUCUGGGGUUUCAUACCCUUAGGACAACAUUUACAAUCAUUACUCACCUCUACCCGAUCCGAACUCUAGCCCACGAUGCCCUUGCCUCUCGAAUCGGCCUCCGGAUGCUCCAACUCUAACCAAAAUCACUGCAAACCCAUAGAAAUAUGCUAAGGUAACAAAGCCCACUCGAAAGAAAUCAAAUUACAACCCAAAUCCCAAAAUUGGCUAAAUAUGACCCCCAGGCCCACAUCUCGGAAUCCAAUUAAAAUUACAUCAAUAGACUCCUUAUCACUCCCCGAGUUCAUUCAUAUCAAAAUCACCAAAAUCCAACCACAAACGACCCCUCAAAUCCCAAAUUCUAGGUCUCCAAUUACAAGCCCUAGUUCUUCAAUAUUUAGGCUUAAAUUCUAGAAAUUCCAUGGUUAAUUAGGUAGAAAUCACAUUAUAAUUGAGUAUUAAAUCCGUAAAUCUUACCUCCAAGUUUUCCCCCUUGAUUCCCUCUUCAAUCGUCUUCAAAAAGCUUCAAAAUCACCCAAAAAUGGAGGAACUUAUGCUCAAAAUCACGGAAUAGGCCUUUUAAACAUUCUACCCAGCUAUUUCAAUUCCUUCUUUGCGAAUUCGGUCAACGCCUUGCAUUCGCGAAUCGUAAACUUAAGUUGACAAAUUUUCCUUCUUCGCGAACACGUCUCUCCUCUCGCGAACGUAAAGGCUCAACUUCCCAGCCAAUCGCGAAUGCAGCUCCCAUCUCGCAAACGCGUAGCUUGAUGCCCCCAACCCUUCGCGAACGCGGGACCUCCCUCGCGAACGUGAAGGCCAAACCUUUAGCCUCACAUUCUAGCCCUUAGCGAACAUGAAGGUCCACUCACGAACGCGAAGCACUACUGUUUGCAACACUACAACAAAUGUUUCUGCAAUUUAUUCAACAUGAAAUGGUCCGUUUGACCACCCAAAACUCACCUGAGGCCCUCGGGACCUCAACCAAACAUGGCAACAUGUCCCAUAACAUCAUUCAAACUUGUUCCAACCUUUGGAACGCUCAAAACAACAUCAAAACACCAAAUUUGCAUCGGAUUCAAGCCUAAGAAUUCUAAAAACUUCCAAAUUCCGCUUUUGAUCAAAAAGUCUACCAAACCACGUCCGAAUGACCUAAAUCCCAAAUGACACAAAGGACCUACUGCAACUCCCUAAAUUCCAUUCCGAACCCUAUAUCAAAAUCUCACCUAUCAACCGGAAAUCGCCAAAAUUCCAAUUUUGCCAAUUCAAGCCUAAAUCCACUCCUGACCUCCAAAACACAUUCCGAUCACGCUCCUAAGUCCCAAAUCACCUCCCGAAGCUAUCCGAACCAUCAGAAAUCACAUCUGAUACCUUUAACACAUAAGUCAACAUCCGGUUGACUUUUUCAACUUAAGCUUCCUCAAAAUAGACUAAGUGUCUCAAACCUUACCUAAACCUCUCCGAACCCGAGUCAACCAACCUGAUAAUACAAAAUACAACUGAACAAGGCAAUAAGAAGCAAAAAUUGGGGAAAUGGAGCGGUAACUCAUAAAACGACCGGUCGGGUCGUUACAUCCUCUCCCUCUAAAACAAAUGUUCAUCCUCGAACGAGUCAAGAAACACACCGGAUACCUCAAAUAUGAGAGGAUAUCUUCUCCGCAUAUCCCCUUCGGUCUGCCAGGAAGCCUCCUCCACGAGCCGACCUCUCCACUGCACUUUCAUUUAAAUUAUAUCCUUUGACCUCAACUUUCGAACCUGAUGCUCCAAAAUAGCUACUGGCUUCACAUCAUAAGUCAAAUCAUCAUCUAGUUGAACCGUGCUAAAAUCUAAAACGUAAGACGGAUCCCUAAUAUAUUUCCGGAGAAUAGAAACAUGAAAUACCAGAUGCACACUUGACAAGCUGGGUGGCAAAGCAAGCUCAUAAGCCACCUCCCCAAUCCUCCGAAGCACCUCAAACGGCCCAAUGAACCGAGGACUCAAUUGACCCUUCUUACCAAAUCUCAUAACACCCUUCAUGGAUGAACGCUUCAACAGAACCUUCUCACCAACCAUGUAGGAUACAUCCCGAAUCUUCCGGUCAGCAUAACUCUUUUGUCUCGACUGCCCAUUAUGAAGCCUCUCCUGAAUUACCUUCACCUUUUCUAAAGUAUCCUGCACCAAGUCUGUCCCCAAUAGCCUAGCCUCACCCGGCCCAAACCAACCAACUGGAGAUCUACACCGCCUCCCAUACAAAGCCUCAUAUGGAGCCAUUUGAAUGCUCGACUGGUAGCUAUUGUUAUAAGCAAACUCCGCGAGCGGUAGAAACUGAUUCCAUGACCCUCUAAAAUCAAUAACACAAGCACACAAUAUGUCCUCCAAUAUCUGAAUAGUGUGCUCGGACUGCCCCUCCAUCUGAGGGUGAAAAACGUGCUCAACUCAACUUGAGUACCCAACUCUCGCUGCACAGACCUCCAAAACUGCAAGGUAAAUUGAGUGCCCCUAUCUGAAAUGAUGGAAAAUAGGACAUCAUACAAACAAACAAUCUCCUGGAUAUAGAUCUUUGCCAACCGCUCUAAAGUAUAGGUAGUACACACAGGAAUGAAGUGCACGGACUUGGUCAGCUGAUCCACAAUCAUCCAAAUAGCAUCGGACUUCUGCAAAGUCCGUGAGAGCCCAACUACAAAGUCCAUGGUGAUACACUCCCACUUCCACUCUAGAAUAUCCAUUUGUUGAAGCAAGCCACCCGGUCUCUGAUGCUCAUAUUUCACCAGCUGACAAUUGAGACACUAAGACACAAAUCCCACAAUGUCCUUCUUCAUUCUCCUCCAGCAAUAAUGUUGUCUUAGAUCUUGAUACAUCUUUGCAGCACCAGGAUGAAUGGAAUACCGCGAGCUAUGGGCCUCCUCCAGAAUCAAAUCCCGAAGACUAUCUAUAUUGGGCACACAUAUCCGGCCCUGCAUCCUCAACACCCCAUCAUCAUCAACAGUCACAUCUCUGGCAUUAUCGUGCUGAACUUUGUCCUUAAGGACUAGCAAAUGAGGAUCAUCAUAUUGGCGCUCUCUGAUACGAUGAAAUAAAGGAAGACCGAGAAAUCACACAAGCCAAUACCCGACUGGGAUCCGAAAUAUCCAACCUCACGAACCAAUUGGCCAAGGCCUGAACAUCAACUGGAAGAGGUCUCUCCCCAACUGGAAUAUAUGCCAAACUCCCCAUACUCGCGCCUUCUUACUCAAAGCAUCGGCCACCACAUUGGCCUUUCCCGAAUGGUACAAAAUAGUAAUAUCAUAAUCCUUUAGCAACUCCAACCAUCUCCGCUAUCUCAAAUCGAGAUCUUUCUGCUUGAACAAGUGCUGGAGGCUAUGAUGAUCAGUAAAAAACUCACAAGACACACCAUACAAAUAAUGCCUCCAAAUCUUCAACGCGUGAACAAUGGCAGCCAACUCCAAAUCGUGAACAGGGUAGUUCUUCUCAUGGGGCUUCAACUGACGAGAAGCAUAAGCAAUAACUUUACCCUCCUGCAUCAACACACACCCAAUACCAACUCUCAAAGCAUUACAAUAUACGGUAUAUGAACCUGAAGCUGAUGGCAAAACAAAUAUUGGAGUUGUGGUCAAGGCAGUCUUAAGCUUCUGAAAGCUCUCCUCACACUCAUUUGACCACUUGAAUAGAGCACCCUUUUGAGUCAACUUGGUCAAGGGCGAUGCGAAAGAUGCGAAUCCCUGAACAAACCGGCGGUAAUAACCCGCCAAACCAAGAAAGAUACGAAUCUCUGUGGCCGAGGACGAUCUGGAUCAACUCUGAACAGCCUCUAUCUUCUUCGGAUCAACCUGAUACCCUCACUGGACACCACGUGCCCCAAGAAAGCCACUGAACUGAGCUAAAACUCACAGUUGGAGAACUUUGCAUAAAGCUUCUCCUCCCUCAAUCUCUGCAACACAACUCUCAAAUGCUCCGCGUGCACCUUCUGACUAUGCGAAUACACCAGAAUAUCAUCAAUGAAAACUAUGAUGAACGAGUCGAGAUACGGUCGGAACAUAUUGUUCAUCAAAUGCAUAAACGCUGCUGGGGCAUUGGCCAGCCCAAAAGACAUCACCAAUAACUCAUAAUGACCAUAUCGGGUCCUGAAAACCGUCUUAAGAAUAUCCAAGUCCCUGAUCUUCAACUAGUGAUAACCUGAACAGAGAUCAAUCUUGGAGAACACUCUCGCUCCCUGAAGCUGCUCAAACAAAUCAUUGAUACAAGGCAAAGGAUAAUUGUUCUUGAUUGUUAUUUUGUUCAACUGCUUGUAAUCAAUGCAUAUCCUCAUAGUUCCAUCCUUCUUCACAAAUAAAACCGGUGCACCCCAAGGCGAUACACUAGGCCGAAUGAACCCCAUAUCAAGGAGUUCCUGAAACUGCUCCUUUAACUCCUUCAACUCCGAUGGUGCCAUAAGAUACAGUGGAAUAGAAAUGGGCUGAGUUCCCAGCACCAGAUCAAUACAAAAAUCACUAUCCUUGUCCGGUGGCAUGCCUGGCACGUCAGCAGGAAACACAUCGGGAAACUCCCUCACAACAUGAAUAGAAUCAAUACUUGGAGUCUCUGCACCGACAUCCCUAACAAAGGCUAGAUAUGAAAGACAACCCUUCCCAACCAUCCGCUUGGCCUUCAAGAAUGAAAUUACCCUAUUGGAAACAUAAUCAGUCGAACCUCGCCACUCAAUCCGUGGCACACCUAACAUAGCCAAUGUCAUUGUCUUAGCAUGACUGUCCAAAAUAGCACGACACGAAGAUACCAAUACAUGCCCAAUAAAACAUCGAAGUCUACCAUACAUAACAAAAACAGAUCCACUCGAGUCUCCAGACCCCCAAUAGUCACCACAUAUGACCGGUACAUGCGAUCUACAACAACAGUAUCGCCCACCGGAGUAGAUACACGAACAGAUGAAACGAGAGACUCACAGGGUAUAUCUAAAUAACGAGCAAAGUAUUAUGACACAUAAGAAUAAGUGGAACCGGGAUCAAAUAAUACAGAGGCAUCUCUGUGGCAGUCUGAGAUAAUACCUGUGAUCACGGAGUCUGAAGCAAUAGCAUCGGGUAUGUCAUACCUCCUUUUUCCUACAACCUCGUAAGGGAGUAUAAAGGGAGUUUUUUCAACUUAAAGUGAAAAUCGAAACGAGAUUAUUUAUUUAUUAAACUCAGAGUCGCCACUUGGGAUAAAUUAUGGUGUCCCAAGUCACCGGUUCAAAUCCCAAAUCGAGGAAAAGAUUGAUUCUGUAUUACAGUAUGCGAACAUAGAAAUCGGGGUAAGGAAUUCUGUUAACUCGGGAGAAGGUGUUAGGCAUUCCCGAGUUUCGUGGUUCUAGCACGGUUGCUCAACUGUUAUAAUUUGCCUAUUAUCUGAUUUUAAUACAUGUUUUAGCCUAUGGUGCCAUUUUAACUUAUUAACCGCUCUUAUUCAUUUUUAGGAAGAUUGUAACGUCAUUUAAAAUAUGUCUUGAACCACGUCACAUAAAUGCACCCGCAGUCCGCAACACAUUUUAUAUAACAUUGUCGAGAUUUGGAUUUGGGUCACAUAAAUGCGCACCCGAGUUUAGGAAGGUAAAUUAUUAAAUAGCGCGUCUAAAGAAACUACGAUGCAUUCAUUUCCUAUACUAAUCUAUUAUGGAGGUCAUGAUUUAAGGAUUGAACUACAGUACGCCCGCUAUUUUACAUUGUAACAAGACUAAGAAAUUUCAACACUUUUAUCUAUUUUUUUAAUCCUUAAGCAAAUGAUGUUGUAUCUACUAUCUACUAUAUUUACAUCCUCAUUUCACACCAAAAAGCUAAAAGACAAAUAUAUAUAUAUGUAUUAUAAAAUAUGUUGUUCCCUACUUUGCUGUCAAAGCAUAAGUUCCAUUUUUUCCAUAUAAUCCAUCUUAUAUUAUCUCAAAUAAAUAGCAACAACAAUAAGUGAAACAAAAUAUAAGAAUGGAAAUAAAAUUAAUUUUAAGGUGAAAUAUAGGUAAACAAAAAGAUCACAUAUAAGACAAAUCACAAACAUUAUUAAUAAAUCAUUUUAAAAGAGAGGACAGAAACAUUCGCAUUUUUGGAUUCAUGAUUUUUGACGCCAAAGUUUAUAAAUUCAAGCUAACCUUACCUGCCAAAUCAUUUUUCAUUAAUCUCACGCCUAAUUUUCAACCCCUGUCAGUGGAUACCAUUCCAAUUCUCUUUAACAAAAUUUAAAUUGCUUUGUCACAUUUAACAAGUAAAUAGUAGCAUAGUUUCAUGUAGUCACUAAACACAAUAUAGGCAUGAAAGGCAAUAACAAUGAAGAUAGACCGAACAAAACAUAAACAUGAAGAAUGGAUUAUCUACUAACUCAAACCACAAACAAGGUAAGGCAACAGAGGAUUCAUGACAAUAAAUUAGAAUGAAAGUAGAGAAGGAACAGAAAUGACAGACCUUUUAUAUACAUGGAAAUUUAUUGACUACAAAGAUGUGAGCUCGACGUGAGAAUUCAAACAAAACCGAACCAGGCACGGAGAACUCGCCGACGACCUCGAACAAGGAUCUGGACAAAAAUUAUAGCGACUCGACUAGAUUUGGACAGCUAUUUCGAGUGUAAAGGAAUCGGUUCGAUGGAUGUUUGCGGCUGGUUUUGGACGGCAUUUCAUUGGAUAUCUGGUGCUAAUUUUGGGACAGUUCUUUUGGGAUUUUUGGACUGUUUUUUCAGCAAUUUCGCAGCUGGUUUGGCUCCUCUUUAGAGCUCUUUUGCGGACAGUUUUUGAGGCUAGUUUGGGUGACGUUUUUGGGGUUGAAUUUCAGCUUGGUUUAGGGCUCUUUUCGUGGUGGUUUCGGGUGUUUCAGGGGUGUUUGAGCUGAAGUUUUUGAGGUUGAAAAGCUAUGGAUGAAGCUAGUUUUUGGGUGAAGCAACAACGGGUUUCAGCUACGUUUUCUUUUGGAUGCUUUUGGCUGCUUCUUAUUACUGAUUUUAGAGGGUCCUGUGGUUACUUUUGUCAUGAGAAGGGAUGGCCUUAUAUGGCUAUGAAAAUUUGAUGGAAAAAGAGAAUGAAGUUUCCACCAGGAAGAAGAAGCAAAGAAUGGCGGAUGCUCCUCUUCAAUCCAAUUGUUGCCGCUGUUUUUUAGUCUAUAUCUAGAUCCUCAAAACGGC
rnacentral:lncRNA from 1 species